UACGAAGGGGGCUAGCGUUGUUCGGAAUUACUGGGCGUAAAGGGCGCGUAGGCGGUUUGCCAAGUCAGGCGUGAAAGCCCUGGGCUUAACCCAGGAACUGCGUUUGAUACUUGCAGACUAGAGUGUGGGAGAGGAUGGUGGAAUUCCCAGUGUAGAGGUGAAAUUCGUAGAUAUUGGGAAGAACACCAGUGGCGAAGGCGGCCAUCUGGACCAUCACUGACGCUGAGGCGCGAAAGCGUGGGGAGCAAACAGG
rnacentral:rRNA from 1 species